rnacentral:rRNA from 1 species
AGAGUUUGAUCAUGGCUCAGAACGAACGCUGGCGGCAGGCCUAACACAUGCAAGUCGAGCGCGCCUUUCGGGGCGAGCGGCGGACGGGUUAGUAACGCGUGGGAAUAUACCCUUUGGUACGGAAUAGCCUCUGGAAACGGAGAGUAAUACCGUAUGAGCCCUUCGGGGGAAAGAUUUAUCGCCAAAGGAUUAGCCCGCGUUAGAUUAGGUAGUUGGUGGGGUAAUGGCCUACCAAGCCUACGAUCUAUAGCUGGUUUUAGAGGAUGAUCAGCAACACUGGGACUGAGACACGGCCCAGACUCCUACGGGAGGCAGCAGUGGGGAAUCUUGGACAAUGGGGGCAACCCUGAUCCAGCCAUGCCGCGUGAGUGAUGAAGGCCUUAGGGUCGUAAAGCUCUUUCGCCUGUGAAGAUAAUGACGGUAGCAGGUAAAGAAACCCCGGCUAACUCCGUGCCAGCAGCCGCGGUAAUACGGAGGGGGUUAGCGUUGUUCGGAAUUACUGGGCGUAAAGCGCACGUAGGCGGACUGGAAAGUUGGGGGGUGAAAUCCCGGGGCUCAACCCCGGAACUGCCUCCAAAACUAUCAGUCUAGAGUUCGAGAGAGGUGAGUGGAAUUCCAAGUGUAGAGGUGAAAUUCGUAGAUAUUUGGAGGAACACCAGUGGCGAAG